AUUUGUUAUAGUUUACUCAUUUCUGUUACCUAUUAUGUUUUUAUGUUUGUAUUCAUGUGUGCGCCUCAUGCACCCCUCCCACUUGCCAUACAUUCUGUAAGUUACCGACCAAGAUCAGAUAGAGCGGAGACCAUGCCGCUCUCUCCCUCUGCACCUAGAGACAUGCGAAAUAGCCCUCCUGCUACCCGGGGACAGCCCUUGAGUUCGGAGGAACUGGGACACAGGGACUCCCCGAAAUAUAAAUGUCGAACACAAGCACAAAUACCAUCCUAUGACCACCUCCCACCCUGAAAAUCUACUCACACAACGUUAGGGGACUGAACAUCCCGGUUAAGAGACACCUCCUAUACCGAGAGAUCAAACACAAAGCAGUAGACGUUCUAUGCCUCCAAG